rnacentral:rRNA from 1 species
CGGCGGACGGGUGAGUAACGCGUGGGUAACCUGCCUUACACUGGGGGAUAACAGUUAGAAAUGGCUGCUAAUACCGCAUAAGCGCACAGUACCGCAUGGUACGGUGUGAAAAACCCAGGUGGUGUGAGAUGGAUCCGCGUCUGAUUAGCCAGUUGGCGGGGUAACGGCCCACCAAAGCGACGAUCAGUAGCCGACCUGAGAGGGUGACCGGCCACAUUGGGACUGAGACACGGCCCAA